GUCAGGCAUGGUGGCGCACACCUGUAAUCCCAGCGGCUCAGGAGGCUGAGGCAGGAGGAUCGCGAGUUCAAAGCCAGCCUCAGCAAAAGUGAAGCACUAAGCAACACAGUGAGACCCUGUCUUUA
rnacentral:sRNA from 1 species